UUGUGUGUAGGAGGAAUUGAUUUUAUUUCAGUGGAAACAAGGAAACACUUGAAAUAAAUUCAAUUUUAA
rnacentral:sRNA from 10 species